rnacentral:lncRNA from 1 species
UUCCAUAGAGCCAGACAGUUGGCGACUGUCCUUACUGCAAACCCUGGUUCACACUGGCUCCCCUGGGAGGGAGGUGGUUGGGACCCACAUGCCCUGUGUUCCUGCUCAGAAUGGGCGUUAGAAAUGCUGCCAUAGCCUGUGCCACUGCAGUGGAAGCAUUUUUAGGAAACGGCUUACAUCUUAAGACGAACUUCAGAUGCGUGGGGCCAGAACGCUGUGUCCAUCUGCAUCUUUGCUGAGGGAUCAGACUGUGAAGCAUCCUGUGUGUGUGUGAAGCACCCGCCGUCAGUCAAGUAUGCCCGGUGCUUUCUCUCAGAACUCAUCAAAAAGCCCUCGGGAGGCUCGGUCACAAUCUCCGAGAGCACAGCCAUCAUCUCUCACGGUACCACAGGCCUGGUCACAUGGGACGCCACCCUCUGCCUUGCAGAAUGGGCCAUCGAGAACCCAGCAGCCUUCACUAACAGACGUGCUGUAUUGCCCAGAAGCCAUCGUGUCGCUGG